rnacentral:rRNA from 2 species
AGGUGCGAUCAUACAAGCAUUAACACACCUUGUCCCAUCAAAUCUCUGCAUUUAGGCGUGCCUGGGCGAGUGUAGUACUAGGACGGGUGACCUCCUAGGAAGUCCUCGUGUGGCACCUC